rnacentral:SRP_RNA from 1 species
UUGCUGUAAUGGCUUCUGUCGGAAGUGUCCGAGCAAUUUCGGCUCUUCUCCUGUUGUCGUCGACAGUUUUCAGAGGUGUCCUGUUCGAUUCCCGCGGACCGGUUGUUAGCUUUUACGAGUAGUCUGGAGGCGCAACUGGGCAAUUAAGUAGGAUUAUCACUGGAGGGGAGCAAUCCAGCACAGUGCCCUACCCGUGGCGAAGGCGAAUGGGACCGCAUCUCGCUGGUUUUCUUUCGGGAAUGUGACGAUGGCUUGGUUGAGUCUUUGUAUGCGACCGAUUUU